UUUUUAUAAAGCAAGACACUGAAAAUGUCUAGAUGGACAUUAUUGCCCCAUUAACA
rnacentral:tRNA from 1 species